AUUGAACGCUGGCGGCAGGCCUAACACAUGCAAGUCGAGCGGAUGAAGGGAGCUUGCUCCUGGAUUCAGCGGCGGACGGGUGAGUAAUGCCUAGGAAUCUGCCUGGUAGUGGGGGAUAACGUCCGGAAACGGGCGCUAAUACCGCAUACGUCCUGAGGGAGAAAGUGGGGGAUCUUCGGACCUCACGCUAUCAGAUGAGCCUAGGUCGGAUUAGCUAGUUGGUGGGGUAAAGGCCUGCCAAGGCGACGAUCCGUAACUGGUCUGAGAGGAUGAUCAGUCACACUGGAACUGAGACACGGUCCAGACUCCUACGGGAGGCAGCAGUGGGGAAUAUUGGACAAUGGGCGAAAGCCUGAUCCAGCCAUGCCGCGUGUGCGAAGAAGGUCUUCGGAUUGUAAAGCACUUUAAGUUGGGAGGAAGGGCAGUAAGUUAAUACCUUGCUGUUUUGACGUUACCAACAGAAUAAGCACCGGCUAACUUCGUG
rnacentral:rRNA from 1 species